GUCUGAUAAAGGUACACGAGGAACAUGCAUCACAACCAUAUGUGUGUGACAGUGAUCUCAUAUAAUAAAUAGUGCAUGACUUUGCAAGUGGGGCCCAGUUAGAAUUUUCUUCAGGUUGAGUAGCCUAUUCCACUCAAAAGGGUUAUUUCAAGAU